UCAAUAGCUGGCACCUGUUGGAGUUAA
rnacentral:piRNA from 1 species